AUUGAACGCUGGCGGCAGGCCUAACACAUGCAAGUCGAGCGGAUGAAGGGAGCUUGCUCCUGGAUUCAGCGGCGGACGGGUGAGUAAUGCCUAGGAAUCUGCCUGGUAGUGGGGGAUAACGUCCGGAAACGGGCGCCAAUACCGCAUACGUCCUGAGGGAGAAAGUGGGGGAUCUUCGGACCUCACGCUAUCAGAUGAGCCUAGGUCGGAUUAGCUAGUUGGUGGGGUAAAGGCCUACCAAGGCGACGAUCCGUAACUGGUCUGAGAGGAUGAUCAGUCACACUGGAACUGAGACACGGUCCAGACUCCUACGGGAGGCAGCAGUGGGGAAUAUUAGACAAUGGGCGAAAGCCUGAUCCAGCCAUGCCGCGUGUGUGAAGAAGGUCUUCGGAUUGUAAAGCACUUUAAGUUGGGAGGAAGGGCAGUAAGUUAAUACCUUGCUGUUUUGACGUUACCAACAGAAUAAGCACCGGCUAACUUCGUG
rnacentral:rRNA from 1 species